rnacentral:rRNA from 1 species
GACGUAGGUGGCGAACGUUAUCUGGAAUUAUUGGGCGUAAAGGGUGCGUAGGUGGCCUGACAAGUUAUCAGUGGCAAAUCGAGGCUCAACCUCGUGGAAACUGGUAAUACUGUCUGGCUUGAGUACAGGAGAGGUUAACGGAACUCCAUGUGUAGCGGUAAAAUGCGACGAUAUAUGAAUGAACAUCAAUAAAGGCGAAGGCAGUUAACUAUUCUGUUACUGACACUGAGGCACGAAAGCGUGGGGAGCAAAACGG